UACGUAGGGUGCGAGCGUUAAUCGGAUUAACUGGGCGUAAAGGGCGCGUAGGCGGUUAUAUGAGUGUGGUGUGAAAGCCCUGGGCUUAACCUAGGAAGUGCAUCGCAAACGAUAUGACUGGAGUACUGGAGAGGGUAGCGGAAUUUCCGGUGUAGCGGUGAAAUGCGUAGAGAUCGGAAGGAACGUCAAUGGCGAAGGCAGCUACCUGGCCAAAUACUGACGCUGAGGCGCGAAAGCGUGGGGAGCAAACAGG
rnacentral:rRNA from 1 species